GAUGAACGCUGGCGGCGUGCCUAAUACAUGCAAGUCGAGCGAACAGACGAGGAGCUUGCUCCUCUGACGUUAGCGGAGGACGGGUGAGUAACACGUGGAUAACCUACCUAUAAGACUGGGAUAACUUCGGGAAACCGGAGAUAAUACCGGAGAAUAUAUUGAACCGCGUGGUUCGAUAGUGAAAGACGGUUUUGCUGUCACGUAUAGAUGGAUCCGCGCCGCAUUAGCUAGUUGGUAAGGUAACGGCUUACCAAGGCGACGAUGCGUAGCCGACCUGAGAGGGUGAUCGGCCACACUGGAACUGAGACACGGUCAAGACUCCUACGGGAGGCAGCAGUAGGGAAUCUUCCGCAAUGGGCGAAAGCCUGACGGAGCAACGCCGCGUGAGUGAUGAAGGUCUUCGGAUCGGAAAACUCUGUUAUUAGGGAAGAACAAAUGUGUAAGUAACUAUGCACGUCUUGACGGUACCUAAUCAGAAAGCCACGGCUAACUACGUG
rnacentral:rRNA from 1 species